GUGCCCGUAGCUCAGUUGGAUAGAGCAACGGAUUUCUAAUCCGUAGGUCGCAGGUUCGAGUCCUGCCGGGCACGCCA
rnacentral:tRNA from 1 species